UCCCUCUUAGCUCAGUGGUAGAGCGCGUCACUAGUAGCCUCUCAUUGGUUAUGACGAGGUCAGUCGUUCAAGUCGGCUAGAGGGAA